GGGGGUAGAUGGGCCCUGGUGGGUCUCCUGGGCUUCAAACCCAGUGUCGGGCGGAGUUACCGGCCGGGGUGGGUUCGAUUCCCACAUACUCCCGCCA
rnacentral:tRNA from 1 species